AUUUAUGUAGUUUAAAUAAAACCUUACAUUUUCAUUGUAAAAAUAAAAUAAUUUUUUUCAUAAAUU
rnacentral:tRNA from 1 species